AGAUGAUGACCCAAUCUUACCAGACACUUCAUUUCCGCCUUAGAACAAUGGCGGCUCGUGGAGCCCAUAGACAUUAUGUCUAUGGUGGAGCCUCUCAAUAGUUCCCGGAAGUAGCAGCAAACACCGUAGAGAUGCAUCAGAACAAACCGUUUGCGACGCACUUUUAAAAGUGGGCAAGCCAUACAUUCGCACACCUUUCUCUGAGCGAUUGGAGCAUCCCCAUGCAGCACAGCAAACCAUGGUGAAGACUAUGCAACGACAACAUGAAAGAAAGGACACAUACAAAAUGCUUGGCAUGCUAUUUCAUUUAUUAGAAAUGUAUUCAUGAA